GGGUCUGAAAUAGAGCAAGAGAGAGAGAGAGAGAGAGAGAGAGAGUGAGACGAAAAGAGACAGUGCGCUGGAAGCGCCCCGUGUGUGUGUAUGUGUGUGCGACGGCUGCUUUUGCUUGGCUUGUAAGUGUCUUGCAUUUAAAACUACAUCACGUUCCAAUAGGCUGCGACACGAGAAAAACGCUGGGAUUUUUUAGUUCUUUGCGUUACGGAAAACCUUACAUUCGAAAGUGCUUCAGGGGGAGACAGAGAGUAAAAAGUUUAAAAAAAAAAAAUUAAUAAUAAUAAUAAAAUAAAAAAAAUAUAUAUAUAUAUAUAUAUAAUAAAUAAAUUAUAUGUUAAAAGAAAAAAAAAAAAAGAAAACACAGGUCCGGGUCUAAAAAAAAAGAAAAGAAAAUAUAUUUGAGCUUUCACACACCACCAAACAACCAACAAAUACUGGCGCAAACAUAACCCAUAUUUAUAUUUAUAUAUACAUACAUACACGUACAUAUAUGUAUAUGCAUAUGUCUACGUUCAUAAAUAUAUAUAUGUAUUAUAUAUAUAUUUAAAAUAUUUUACAAUACAUACAGUCUUAUUACACAGGCGCGUAUACACCAAAAAGUCAAAAUAGGUAUAGAAAACGAUAAAAAACGGAGGUACAUUAAAACCGGCACCCUGGCUAUUGCUAAGAAAAGUAUGGUCCAAUGUGCAGGGUGCGAUCGCCCGAUUUUGGACCGAUUUCUCUUAAAUGUGCUCGAUCGAGCGUGGCAUGCAAAAUGCGUCCAGUGUUAUGAUUGUAAAUGUAAUUUGACGGAGAAAUGUUUUUCACGAGACGGGAGGCUUUACUGUCGGACAGACUUCUUCAGGUAAGCUUCAACUAUUUCAU
rnacentral:lncRNA from 1 species